UACAUAGGGUGCGAGCGUUAAUCGGAAUUACUGGGCGUAAAGCGCACGUAGGCGGCUUGGUAUGUCGGGUGUGAAAUCCCCGGGCUCAACCUGGGAACUGCAUCCGAAACUGCCUUGCUAGAGUAUGGGAGAGGGAAGUGGGAUUUCCGGUGUAGCGGUGAAAUGCGUAGAUAUCGGAAGGAACAUCAGUGGCGAAGGCGACUUCCUGGACCAAUACUGACGCUCAGGUGCGAAAGCGUGGGGAGCAAACAGG
rnacentral:rRNA from 1 species